GAUGAAGAACGCAGCGAAAUGCGAUAAGUAAUGUGAAUUGCAGAAUUCAGUGAAUCAUCGAAUCUUUGAACGCACAUUGCGCCCGCCAGUAUUCUGGCGGGCAUGCCUGUUCGAGCGUCAUUUCAACCCUCAGGGCCCUUUUGGACCUGGCGUUGGGGCUCGGCCGCUACCCUGCGGCCGUCCCCGAAAGAUAGUGGCGGUCUCGCUGUAGCCUCCUCUGCGUAGUAGUUACAUCUCGCACUGGAACGCGGCGCGGCCAUGCCGUUAAACACCCCACUUCUCAAGGUUGACCUCGGAUCAGGUAGGAAUACCCGCUGAACUUAAGCAUAUAAAUAAGCGGAGGA
rnacentral:misc_RNA from 1 species